rnacentral:lncRNA from 1 species
CCGAGAGAGAGUCCUGAUUGGACUCAGAGAGGGGGCGGGCGCCCAGUGCCUGGCCCCGUUCGGCCUCCGCUUCCUUCCUGUGGCUUCUGGAGUCUUCUGGAUGUAAGAUAAUUGCGCGGCACGUUAAUAUCUCUAUGUAAUCCCGACGUGUGAGCCUUUAUUCUGUAUUUCCUGAUAACCCCCUGUAGAAAUAGACAAACACCAAAACUUUUGGAAUUCUGUCAGAUAAAACCCUAAGUCUAGAUGUUGAUUUCAUUUGGAUCCUUUUCUUUGUUUAUUUGAUAAUAAAAUUUGAUACUUAAGGACUGUCAAUAAACUCCCCCAAGCUUACCUCUUGCUCGUCCCUGAGCAAGGAUAGACUCAGCUAUGAAUCAUAAGUUGUUGCAAUGCCUUUAAAAGUUGACGGUACACAUGCUUUUAAAUAAGAUCUCAUCUCUGAGUUAGAGUAAACUGUCAAGACUUAAAACUUACUUACUUUACCUUUCACCAUGGGACUUGUAACCGCCACUUCCGUCUUGAGUAGUCAAAAGAUAGAACAGUCUAGUCAAGUGCCAUGUCUCUUUUUCUUGAUCAGCUAUAGCUCUAGAGUUUUUUGUAGAUUUUCAAAUAAAACUCAGAGAUUCCUUAUAUGACUCUCUCAGAUCUCUCUUUUGUGGUAUUUCUGGAUCCUUACCAAAGCAGUGAUGGUAUAUGCCUUCUCUCAAUAUAUGUGGUAUUUGUGGUAUAAAGCAUAGUGACAUUGCCUUCUCUCUCACCCUACUCUAAUAAGGCUUUAAUAUCUGGAGCUCAUAGGUGGGAGAUAAAAUAUACAUACUCAUAAGACAUGUAUUGUAUAGUCAAACCAUGGAUCCAAUGAAACAAAUCAAUAAGUCAAAUCAAGAUGUGCAUGUGUGGCGAAUGAGUGGUAUAUGGUGAUGAUGGUGAUAACAAUGGUGAAAGUCUAAUUCUACUUUUGCUCUUUUGAGGGGAUACAUACCUUCCUUGCUUUCUGAAACUUUUGAAGAGAAUGAGAUGCUCUACAUUUUCUUUUUUCUUUCCUCUCAGGUGGGUAUCUUGUACCCCUAAUUCUACUGUAGGACACUUGUCCAUUUUUACCUCUCAUCUCACUUUUUCUUUCCUUUCGAGGUUCCGGACACUUGCCCCUUUUUAUUUCCUCGUAUUUUUUUCUCUUCUUUUUUUUAGAGCACUCAUCUCUUAAGAUAAUAUAGCAAGUGGUAGUAACAAGAUAACUUGAGCAUUUAUUUCACAAAAAAAACAGAAAUAUUUUUGGCUAUUCUCUCCCAGAUUAGGAGUAGAAUAUUUUUAGGUGGUUCUGGAGAUGGAAAUGGGUGAAUAUAUGUGGAUGGUACUUCCGGAGUAGAAGUAGCAUAUGUGAGUAAACGUGCAAGCGAAUCUUGAUUUAACCACAUGACAAGCUCCUAAGGGUCUACACAGCUUGACCACACUCAAUGCUCAUAAGCAGUAAAUAAUAAAUGUGUGGCUCAAAGUCUAGCAAGCAUGUAUAUAUGGCUGUGGUAGGAAUUUAAACUCUCAUCAUACAGGAACUCAUCAUGCAACAUUUUAAAGAUUUUGUAAGAUAAAAUUCUCCAGAAUUCUAACAUCUCUAGGAACAGAUAAACAGCAGCUCAACCUUCCCAUAUCAUAUCUGUUAACAACUUAGACUUCAGAUCAAGUUUACUUCCCACAAGUUUAGGUCUAGAGCAAGCUCUAAAUUAUAACAGUUAUAUCUAAACUUGGGAGAGAACUUAAAAUUUGCAAAUUAGGCAGAGCAACUAUUCAUCAUAUCCAUGCUAGAGUUUUAUUAUUAAGAUUCAGAUUAGCAUAGCUACUUUAUUUAUUUAUUAAGCACACUAAGCAAAAGAUAUAUAUAUAAGCACAAGAUCUUUAUUUGUUUUUCCAUAAUUAUGUAUAUCUAUAUUUUAAUAUACUAUAAGUAUAAAGAUAGAUAGAAAUACUUAGCGGGAUGAAUCGGGGUGCUCUCCCCCAAGCUGAAUUUUGACGUAAUUUCUCUUGAUGUAGCUAGCAGGCGGCAGAGGUGUAUAUGAAAGUCGGCAGUAUCCUGACAGCGAUUAGAAUGUCCUCCGUCUGCUAGUCUUCUUGAUUCUUAAAUUCUGUGGAGCUCAAAUAGACAACAAAGCUUGUGGAACUGAUUAAGUGUUAGCAUAAAUAUCUAGCCUUUAUCAUGUUGAGACUCCUUAGUAAAUAUUACUCUCUACUUUUACAUUUUCAUUUUUAUAGAGCAGAAAAAUAUUUAUUUUAUUUUUAUGCCACCAUAGUGAAUGUACUUAUGGGUUUUAUGCCACUCGUAUACUCACAUGGGGCUUACUAUUUUUUAACAUUUUUAUUUUCUUUUUAGGAUAGUAUAAAUAUAACUAAUUAAGUAAACUAUUUUAAAUAAUUGAAAGGGAAAGGAUAACUACCAAGUUUACCUCUUGGCAAGGCGUUCGGUGUUUUUAAGUCCUCCGAACGGGACUCUCCGUUUUCUCAAUUGUCCUGGGAUUCGUUGGGUGGCGUAGUCAGUACUUCCGGCGGUGCCUCUUCUUCAUGUAUAGUUAUCUUCUCUUUCCAUACCUGACUCGGUGCUACGGUCUCCUCUGGAUAAUUCUAUUUAAACUGUACGUCUUCUGACCUUACAACUUCUCCUUCAUAGUCUGCCCAUCCGUCCUUCAUGAUUUGCCUCCUCUGGUUGUGGUUGCGUCGUUUUCUUACCUACUUAGAUUCUUCAACGAUGUAGUUAGGGUCAGUAAAAUAACGGCGUACCUUCUCUGAGGGGAAGUGCAUAUGGACUUCUCUGGUUUCAAUGUAGAUGAUUGCUUUAACGGUGCUGAGGAACGAUCUUCCAAGGAUGAUGGGUGGAUCGUAUUCGUCUUCUCCCAUGUCAAUAACCUGAAAGUCUGUGUAGACAAAAUGAUCGCCUAUUUUGACAGGGACAUCAGUUACUAUUCCUUUAACUUCUCAAAACGUCUGAUCUGCCAUCUGGAGCUGAAUGUAUGUUGUUUUAGGGGCAUGGUUCCGAACAAGAGCCGAUAGGUGACUGCGGCCAUUAUGUUGACGCCCGAUCCGGUGUCGCAAGUCGUCUUGUAGAAGUUGUAUCCAUUUAUGGAGCAGUAGAUGCUUGGCAUUCCUGGAUCGUCCUUCUUGGUCAAAAAUGGUGACUUAAGUUGUUGAUCUUGGCCUCCUUGAACUGCAGUGACCAUCUUAGCUGACUCGGUCCAGACUUGCUUGUUCCUAUUCCUCCUAUUGGUCCUCUUCCUUGAUUCAUGUCUGGAUUGAUCUAGGAUUUGUGUA